rnacentral:rRNA from 1 species
GUCUUCUGGGAGAUAUAAGAAGUCUGGCCUGCUCACUGAUAAAUUUAUUAAAGAGCUGCGGUAUAUUGACUGUACAAAGGUAGCAUAAUCAUUAGUUUUUUAAUUGAAAACUUGUAUGAAUGGUUUGACAAAAUAAAUAUUGUCUCUUUUAUUGAAAUAAAAUUUAACUUUUAAGUGAAAAGGCUUAAAUUGUUCUAAGGGACGAUAAGACCCUAUAAAGCUUUAUAUUUGUAUUUUAUUUUAAAAAAUUAAAUUAAUUGUAAAUUUAAGAUAUUUUAAUUGAUUGGGGCGGUGUAUAAAUAAUUUAUUUAACUUUAUUAAGUUAUAACAUUUUAUGUGUGGAGUAAUUAAUAGAUCCUUGUUAAAGAUUAAAGUAAAGUUACUUUAGGGAUAACAGCGUUAUUUUUUUUGAGAGUUCAUAUCGAAAAAAAAGAUUGCGACCUCGAUGUUGAAUUAAAAAUUCUGCUUAGUGUAGCCGCUAAGAUAAGAAGGUCUGUUC